CUGUUCCUACGGGGCGCAGCAGUGGGGAAUAUUGGGCAAUGGGCGCAAGCCUGACCCAGCAACGCCGCGUGAAGGAAGAAGGCUUUCGGGUUGUAAACUUCUUUUCUCAGGGACGAAGCAAGUGACGGUACCUGAGGAAUAAGCCACGGCUAACUACGUGCCAGCAGCCGCGGUAAUACGUAGGUGGCAAGCGUUAUCCGGAUUUACUGGGUGUAAAGGGCGUGUAGGCGGGGACGCAAGUCAGAUGUGAAAACCACGGGC
rnacentral:rRNA from 1 species